rnacentral:rRNA from 1 species
CCUACGGGAGGCAGCAUUGGGGAAUAUUGGGCAAUGGGCGCAAGCCUGACCAAGCAACGCCGCGUGAGGGAAGAAGGCUUUCGGGUUGUAAACUUCUUUUCUCAGGGACGAAGAUAGUGACGGUACCUGAGGAAUCAGCUACGGCAAACUUGGUGCCAGCAGCCGCGGUAAUACGCAGGUGGCAAGCGUUAUCCGGAUUUAUUGGGUGUCAAGGGCGUGUAGGCGGGAGGGCAAGUCAGAUGUGAAAACUCAGGGCUCAACCCUGAGACUGCAUUUGAAACUGUGUUUCUUGAGUGCUGGAGAGGCAAGCGGAAUUCCGGGGGUAGCGGUGAAAUGCGUAGAUAUACGGAGGAACACCAGUGGCGAAGGCAGAUUGCUGGACAGUAACUGACGCUGAGGCGCGAAAGCGUGGGGAGCAAACAGGAUUAGAUACCCUAGUAGUC